rnacentral:rRNA from 1 species
AAAAAAAUCCCCUCUGUGCCAGCCGGCGCCCGACGGCCCGAUUCAGCGCCUCCCGCCGGAGACCGCCCGCCGCCGACGAGGGGCACGCCGGUGAUCUCCCCCAGCCCGCCUGCCCCUCUUUCAUAUCCGUUCUACUCCUUCUCUCUCGGCCCCCUCGAGCUCGCCUCGAUCCAUGGCCUCUUCUUAAACCUAGCUCCGGUCACGGCCACGACCGGCUUCGCAGCUCCCGGCCGCCAUCGCCUGCGCCUCCCCCCGUGUCUCCCUCACCUCGCCUGUGCAGCACCGUGGUUGUACAUCGCCAGCGCCAUCAGCUACAGCCCCGCUCUAAUCCACCUGCAAGCCAUGGACAGCGGCCUGGCUGCUUACUCGUCGCUGGCCUACCAGUACCUCCACCAACAUCUCAUCCAUCUAGAUCAGGGGCGCUUUAAUUUCAGCAGAUUUUCUUCUUCUUUGCAACAUGAUGUUUUCCUAUGCCUUGAAGAGUUGUUGAUGGAUGAUAUACAUAGGCUACCAGGUGGUAGCUCCAAUGUUGCAACUGAGGCCAGCAAUGGGUGCUUCUCCUGGGAUGGCUCACCUGAGAUACCAACGUUGAAGGAUCUGAAUUUUCAAGCUCGGCAAGGCAUGCGUGUUGCACUUUGUGGGACGGUCGGCUCUGGAAAAUCAAGUUUGAUCACUUGA